UCGCCAUAAUACAACGUCAGAGGUGGAGACGGUUCCUUAGCUUUCGCCUUCACUCUUCGAGAUGAGAGCUAAGUGGAGAAAGAAGCGCAUGCGCAGGCUGAAGCGUAAAAGAAGAAAGAUGAGGCAGAGGUCCAAGUAAACAGUCCUGUCUACUCUGUCUGUGGCCAUGGUUCCAUCAGAAAGGCCAGAGAACCAGGAGCCUCCUGUGUUGAAGCCUGAAGGCCUGAGAGAGAAGAUCAGCAGGCGCUGAGGAGAUGAUCCAGAUCCUGUUGGAUGACAGGCUUUCCCACUGGGACAUUCUGGACUCUUUAAUCUCAAUUCCUUAACUUUUGUCAUUUGCUAUUGUUUAUACUUCUGAUUAAAGUUUUUGUUUAUAAUAUACUUG